rnacentral:rRNA from 1 species
CCUACGGGUGGCAGCAGUGAGGAAUAUUGGUCAAUGGACGCAAGUCUGAACCAGCCAUGCCGCGUGCAGGAAGACGGCCCUACGAGUUGUAAACUGCUUUUGUACGAGGGUAAACUCAGGCACGCGUACCUGUCUGUAAGUAUUUUACGAAUAAGGAUCGGCUAACUCCGUGCCAGCAGCCGCGGUAAUACGGAGGAUUCAAGCGUUAUCCGGAUUUAUUGGGUUUAAAGGGUGCGUCGGCGGGCGGUUAAGUUAGAGGUGAAAUCCUGAGGCUCAACUUCGGAAUUGCCAUUGAUACUGGUAGGCUAGAGAGUAGUUGCGGUAGGCGGAAUGUGUGGUGUAGCGGUGAAAUGCUUAGAGAUCAUACAGAACGCCGAUUGCGAAGGCAGCUUACCAAGCUACUUCUGACAUUGAGGCACGAAAGCGUGGGGAGCAAACAGGAUUAGAUACCCCUGUAGUC